UGGAUGCUUCUUUCAUCAGUCAGUCUGCUUCAGGCAGUAAGGAGAAGCCACAAAAGCAGACCAUAGGACAAACACUCUGAGAGACCUGAGCUAAGUUCUGCAGCUGAUUUGAGAUGAAGGCAGAGACACAAAAAGGAGUCUGGAGAUGAAUUGCAUGAAAAUGAAGAUGAGAAAUAGGAGCUCAAAGAUGGGUGGAAUGGUGAAGAAAAAGAUUCCAACCAGGUCUCUCAGUGCUCUGUGUCAGCAGCAAAUGGUGUCUUCAGC